rnacentral:rRNA from 1 species
GAUGAACGCUAGCGGCAGGCCUAAUACAUGCAAGUCGGACGGUAUUGGGGAGCUUGCUCCCCAUGAGAGUGGCGCACGGGUGCGUAACACGUAUGUAACCUACCCUUGUCAGGGGGAUAGCCUCCCGAAAGAGAGAUUAACACCGCAUAACAUUAUUGGAUGGCAUUAUUUAAUAAUCAGAUAUUUAUAGGACAAGGAUGGGAAUGCGGGACAUUAGCUAGUUGGUAGGGUAACGGCCCACCAAGGCUACGAUGACUAGGGGGUCUGAGAGGAUGGCCCCCCACACUGGUACUGAGACACGGACCAGACUCCUACGGGAGGCAGCAGUAAGGAAUAUUGGUCAAUGGGCGCAAGCCUGAACCAGCCAUGCCGCGUGCAGGAAGACGGCCCUACGGGUUGUAAACUGCUUUUGCGCCGGAAUAAACCCUUUUACGAGUAAGAGGCUGAAUGUACGGCGAGAAUAAGGAUCGGCUAACUCCGUGCCAGCAGCCGCGGUAAUAC